GAUGAACGCUGGCGGCGUGCCUAAUACAUGCAAGUCGAGCGAACAGAUAAGGAGCUUGCUCCUUUGACGUUAGCGGCGGACGGGUGAGUAACACGUGGGUAACCUACCUAUAAGACUGGAAUAACUCCGGGAAACCGGGGCUAAUGCCGGAUAACAUUUAGAACCGCAUGGUUCUAAAGUGAAAGAUGGUUUUGCUAUCACUUAUAGAUGGACCCGCGGCGUAUUAGCUAGUUGGUAAGGUAACGGCUUACCAAGGCAACGAUACGUAGCCGACCUGAGAGGGUGAUCGGCCACACUGGAACUGAGACACGGUCCAGACUCCUACGGGAGGCAGCAGUAGGGAAUCUUCCGCAAUGGGCGAAAGCCUGACGGAGCAACGCCGCGUGAGUGAUGAAGGUCUUCGGAUCGUAAAACUCUGUUAUUAGGAAAGAACAAAUGUGUAAGUAACUGUGCACGUCUUGACGGUACCUAAUCAGAAAGCCACGGCUAACUACGUG
rnacentral:rRNA from 1 species